rnacentral:rRNA from 1 species
UACGUAGGUGGCGAGCGUUGUCCGGAUUUACUGGGCGUAAAGGGAGCGUAGGCGGUUCCUUAAGUCUGAUGUGAAAGCCCACGGCUCAACCGUGGAAGGUCAUUGGAAACUGGGGAACUUGAGUGCAGAAGAGGAGAGUGGAAUUCCAUGUGUAGCGGUGAAAUGCGUAGAUAUAUGGAGGAACACCAGUGGCGAAGGCGACUCUCUGGUCUGUAACUGACGCUGAGGCUCGAAAGCGUGGGGAGCAAACAGGAUUAGAUACCCCCGUA